rnacentral:rRNA from 2 species
GUCGAACGAACUCUGGUAUUGAUUGGUGCUUGCAUCAUGAUUUACAUUUGAGUGAGUGGCGAACUGGUGAGUAACACGUGGGAAACCUGCCCAGAAGCGGGGGAUAACACCUGGAAACAGAUGCUAAUACCGCAUAACAACUUGGACCGCAUGGUCCGAGUUUGAAAGAUGGCUUCGGCUAUCACUUUUGGAUGGUCCCGCGGCGUAUUAGCUAGAUGGUGGGGUAACGGCUCACCAUGGCAAUGAUACGUAGCCGACCUGAGAGGGUAAUCGGCCACAUUGGGACUGAGACACGGCCCAAACUCCUACGGGAGGCAGCAGUAGGGAAUCUUCCACAAUGGACGAAAGUCUGAUGGAGCAACGCCGCGUGAGUGAAGAAGGGUUUCGGCUCGUAAAACUCUGUUGUUAAAGAAGAACAUAUCUGAGAGUAACUGUUCAGGUAUUGACGGUAUUUAACCAGAAAGCCACGGCUAACUACGUGCCAGCAGCCGCGGUAAUACGUAGGUGGCAAGCGUUGUCCGGAUUUAUUGGGCGUAAAGCGAGCGCAGGCGGUUUUUUAAGUCUGAUGUGAAAGCCUUCGGCUCAACCGAAGAAGUGCAUCGGAAACUGGGAAACUUGAGUGCAGAAGAGGACAGUGGAACUCCAUGUGUAGCGGUGAAAUGCGUAGAUAUAUGGAAGAACACCAGUGGCGAAGGCGGCUGUCUGGUCUGUAACUGACGCUGAGGCUCGAAAGUAUGGGUAGCAAACAGGAUUAGAUACCCUGGUAGUCCAUACCGUAAACGAUGAAUGCUAAGUGUUGGAGGGUUUCCGCCCUUCAGUGCUGCAGCUAACGCAUUAAGCAUUCCGCCUGGGGAGUACGGCCGCAAGGCUGAAACUCAAAGGAAUUGACGGGGGCCCGCACAAGCGGUGGAGCAUGUGGUUUAAUUCGAAGCUACGCGAAGAACCUUACCAGGUCUUGACAUACUAUGCAAAUCUAAGAGAUUAGACGUUCCCUUCGGGGACAUGGAUACAGGUGGUGCAUGGUUGUCGUCAGCUCGUGUCGUGAGAUGUUGGGUUAAGUCCCGCAACGAGCGCAACCCUUAUUAUCAGUUGCCAGCAUUAAGUUGGGCACUCUGGUGAGACUGCCGGUGACAAACCGGAGGAAGGUGGGGAUGACGUCAAAUCAUCAUGCCCCUUAUGACCUGGGCUACACACGUGCUACAAUGGAUGGUACAACGAGUUGCGAACUCGCGAGAGUAAGCUAAUCUCUUAAAGCCAUUCUCAGUUCGGAUUGUAGGCUGCAACUCGCCUACAUGAAGUCGGAAUCGCUAGUAAUCGCGGAUCAGCAUGCCGCGGUGAAUACGUUCCCGGGCCUUGUACACACCGCCCGUCACACCAUGAGAGUUUGUAACACCCAAAGUCGGUGGGGUAAC